rnacentral:lncRNA from 10 species
AACUUCUUCCAUUAGAAAGGACUCCUCAGGACACCUGGGAGCAUGGGCUCUUACACAGGGGGUCCUGGUCAUACCACUGAGGGAGCUCUGGGCUAGACUUGGAUGGUGAACACUGUGUAACCCUGGCAUUGUCACUGUAUCUCUUUGCCCCUCAGUUUUCUCUUCUCGGAAAUGAGAAAACAUAUCCAACAAAAUUUUGAGGAUUAAAAACCAGAGGAUGUGUAGGGACACAGUGACAAAUAUGAAGUCUAAGGUCUUACUGUUAUUAUAUCACUUAUGGUUAACAGUAAAGAUUUCUGAGUCAGACCGUUCAAGUUCAAA